UGAAAGGCUAAUUAAUCCAUUGUUAUCAAGCUAGCAGAUAUCUGAAUACUCCAUGACUUUACUAUGGAGAUGCCAAAAUAACAGAUCUGACCUAUUAGAACAGCUUGAGCAAACAUUUGCUAGUAAACGCAUUGAAUCUUGAUGCAUGGCUGUAUAAAUAUAUAUUUAUGGACUAUAAAUUUUGAUGAAGAAUAGAGUUGUCAUGAGCAGCUAAUCUCACCCAGCUUGCCAUUCUCAAGAGAAUGCUGAUUAUCGCUGCUGCAUUGUCAUCUGUCUAAACAAGAUAAUUAACUGUAUGUCAGAACACCCCCUAGAAGACUACGUUAAGGCACCGUUGAGAGCCUGACAGUCUCUACAGUCAGCCUUCCAGCCACUGUGCCCCAAGCCUGUAGUGAUGCACGGGAUUGUUGCGAACAAAAUGCAAGACCUAACACAUGGUCUUAACAAAGCUUAUGCUGCUGGCCUCAGCCCAGUGAUCCAGCCUAUCCAGAUCCCUCUGAAGGACCUCACUACUCCCAGGCAGAUUGGCACUACCUCCCAGCCUACUGUCAUCCAAAAACUUACUGAGGUGUGAUUGUCCAGCCAGUUUUUUAUCCAGGGAAGAGUACACCUGCCCAAGUUAUGGGCUGCCAGCUUCAGUGCAGACAUGCCUUUAAUACUGCCCAUAUUCAAUGUAUAAGCUGCUUCUCAGAUGACUGCCAGAAUGUAGCAAAGCUGGAAAGCUUUCUGCUUUGAACACAACAAAGUAAAGUUUUCUGUAUGGUCACAGUCAUCCAAUUAUAUUUCUCUGUUGAGGAAGAAAAGGUACAAGCAGUCCAAGGGUUCAUUUGAUCCUUUUGCAAGAAUACAAACCUGAGCAAAAAAUACUGGGUCGCAGGGCAGCAAGUGGUUUGUACUGCUAUUCAUGGGAUCCAGAAAAGUUGAAUUACAUUGUUAUUUUUAUUAUUAUUGUUGUUGUUGUUAUUGUUUUAUCAUAACUAUUCAUCUGGUUACACUGAAUGUGGAGUCAGUAUAAUUUUUAGCAUUGUCAUUGUAAAUGAUUCUGUUUGUCCUUGUUUACCAGUCACAGACUGUUCACAUAAACUCUCUGGAGAUCUUUUACAACAGCAUUUUGUGAUGUCUUAAUAACAUGCAACAUUCUUGACAGUAUUGUUGGCAGUCCCAGAAAGACAGAAGUAACAAUAAUCUCAGAACAAACUGAAAGCUAAUUUCUGUCAAAAAAGUUUGCUGCAUUGAAAGACAAUUUUUUUUUUUUUUUUUACCCAUUAAAGUAGAAUAUUCAACUUGAAGCUCUUUCCAGUUGCAAUCGUUUUGAAACACAGGCACAUUUUUUUCUCCCCAGAAGAAGAGAUGAGAGAAAAGGAAAUUCAAAACGAGAAGCUUGUUUGAAAAUCAUUUCAUUUGGAAAAUUCAAAAGAAAAUUUCUUCUUGUCUUCCUUUGUUUUCUGUCCUUGAAAGGAGCAAUUCAGUGAAAUGAGUUGAUGUAAUCUUCCAGGAAGAACUAAUUUGCAGUUCU
ensembl:lncRNA